UACGUAGGGGGCUAGCGUUGUCCGGAUUUAUUGGGCGUAAAGAGCGUGUAGGCGGCCAGGUAGGUCCGUUGUGAAAACUCGAGGCUCAACCUCGAGACGCCGGUGGAAACCAUCUAGCUAGAGUCCGGAAGAGGAGAGUGGAAUUCCUGGUGUAGCGGUGAAAUGCGCAGAUAUCAGGAAGAACACCCGUGGCGAAGGCGGCUCUCUGGGACGUGACUGACGCUGAGACGCGAAAGCGUGGGGAGCAAACAGG
rnacentral:rRNA from 1 species